AGGGCCGUCCUUCCGCUUUGAAUUACAGGUGGUUGCUAGGGGCGCUCGGAGCCCGGCGCUGGCCGUGGGGAUUCACCUGGGCGGAAGGCCUUCAAGCUCAGCCUGGAAGUACACCAUGGCUUUCCUGGGCCUCCGGCUUGCUGACUGCAGAUCUCAGGACUUCUCUGCUUCCAUAAUCAUGAGCAGAAACACCUCCAAUUUGAACCGCCUUGGGAGGACACAGCGAGAAGGUGGCUCUCUCCAAGUCAGGAAGAGCACUAACUCCAGAGGUUUACCAGGCUAGUGCUCUGAUCUCAAACUUCCAACCUCCAGAACUGUGGGAAAAUAAAUUUCUAUUGUUUAAGCAACCCAGUCUAUGGUGUUUUGUAUGGCAGCAGAGCACACAGAGCUUAUGGCAAACCCCAGUGGAAAAAUCACAGUGCAGUCUCUGGGACUCUGGAGUGAGCCACACCACCUGCAGC